rnacentral:rRNA from 1 species
AGAGUUUGAUCAUGGCUCAGAUUGAACGCUGGCGGCAGGCCUAACACAUGCAAGUCGAGCGGUAGCACAGAGAGCUUGCUCUCGGGUGACGAGCGGCGGAAGGCCUGUCUCUUAUACACAUCUAGAUGUGUAUAAGAGACAGGAGUAAUGUCUGGGAAACUGCCUGAUGGAGGGGGAUAACUACUGGAAACGGUAGCUAAUACCGCAUAAUGUCGCAAGACCAAAGUGGGGGACCUUCGGGCCUCAUGCCAUCAGAUGUGCCCAGAUGGGAUUAGCUAGUAGGUGGGGUAACGGCUCACCUAGGCGACGAUCCCUAGCUGGUCUGAGAGGAUGACCAGCCACACUGGAACUGAGACACGGUCCAGACUCCUACGGGAGGCAGCAGUGGGGAAUAUUGCACAAUGGGCGCAAGCCUGAUGCAGCCAUGCCGCGUGUGUGAAGAAGGCCUUCGGGUUGUAAAGCACUUUCAGCGGGGAGGAAGGCGAUAAGGUUAAUAACCUUGUCGAUUGACGUUACCCGCAGAAGAAGCACCGGCUAACUCCGUGCCAGCAGCCGCGGUAAUACGGAGGGUGCAAGCGUUAAUCGGAAUUACUGGGCGUAAAGCGCACGCAGGCGGUCUGUCAAGUCGGAUGUGAAAUCCCCGGGCUUAACCUGGGAACUGCAUUCGAAACUGGCAGGCUAGAGUCUUGUAGAGGGGGGUAGAAUUCCAGGUGUAGCGGUGAAAUGCGUAGAGAUCUGGAGGAAUACCGGUGGCGAAGGCGGCCCCCUGGACAAAGACUGACGCUCAGGUGCGAAAGCGUGGGGAGCAAACAGGAUUAGAUACCCUGGUAGUCCACGCCGUAAACGAUGUCGAUUUGGAGGUUGUGCCCUUGAGGCGUGGCUUCCGGAGCUAACGCGUUAAAUCGACCGCCUGGGGAGUACGGCCGCAAGGUUAAAACUCAAAUGAAUUGACGGGGGCCCGCACAAGCGGUGGAGCAUGUGGUUUAAUUCGAUGCAACGCGAAGAACCUUACCUGGUCUUGACAUCCACAGAACUUUCCAGAGAUGGAUUGGUGCCUUCGGGAACUGUGAGACAGGUGCUGCAUGGCUGUCGUCAGCUCGUGUUGUGAAAUGUUGGGUUAAGUCCCGCAACGAGCGCAACCCUUAUCCUUUGUUGCCAGCGGUUCGGCCGGGAACUCAAAGGAGACUGCCAGUGAUAAACUGGAGGAAGGUGGGGAUGACGUCAAGUCAUCAUGGCCCUUACGACCAGGGCUACACACGUGCUACAAUGGCAUAUACAAAGAGAAGCGACCUCGCGAGAGCAAGCGGACCUCAUAAAGUAUGUCGUAGUCCGGAUUGGAGUCUGCAACUCGACUCCAUGAAGUCGGAAUCGCUAGUAAUCGUAGAUCAGAAUGCUACGGUGAAUACGUUCCCGGGCCUUGUACACACCGCCCGUCACACCAUGGGAGUGGGUUGCAAAAGAAGUAGGUAGCUUAACCUUCGGGAGGGCGCUUACCACUUUGUGAUUCAUGACUGGGGUGAAGUCGUAACAAGGUAACCGUAGGGGAACCUGCGGUUGGAUCACCU